rnacentral:tRNA from 1 species
AGAGUGUAGCUCAGUGGUAGAGCGCCUGCUUGGCGUGCAUGAGAUCCUGGUUCAAUCCCCAGCACCUCUG